rnacentral:sRNA from 12 species
GUCCUAUACAGAUGUAUUCAACGCAAGAUAGUUGAGCAUCUCCCUGUAGGACGAAGUUUAUUAGAAGCUCUGACAACAAUUCUUAUUGUGUGGCUGUGGCUACGGUCGAAAUGAGAUGAGUUAGAGUGGAAUAGGUUAACCGUAAGACCUUGGGUUGAAAAAUUCUAAAAUGGAGCUAGAGAUAUGGAUUUAUUAAAUUUUGCAUUUUCUGGUUACGGUCGG